UUAGGACUACAGCCUGCGAAUGCGAUGGC
rnacentral:sRNA from 1 species